CUGGCUCAGAACGAACGCUGGUAGCGUGGAUUAGGCAUGCAAGUCGAACGGGAUCCGGGAGGUAGCAAUACUUCCUGGUGAGAGUGGCGGAUUGGGGAGGAACACGUGAGCAACCUGCCUUGGAGUCGGGGAAAACCGUUGGAAACGACGGCUAAUACCGGAUGUGGCGCCUGGCGACAUCGCCGGAGCGCUAAAGGGGGCCGCAAGGCUCUCGCUCCUAGAGGGGCUCGCGCACCAUCAGCUUGUUGGCGGGGUAACGGCCCACCAAGGCCUACGGUUAGCUGGUCUGAGAGGAUGACCAGCCCCACUGGGACUGAGAUACUGCCCAGACUCCUACGGGAGGCUGCAGUCGAGGAUCAUUUGCAAUGGGCGAAAGCCUGACAAUGCGACGCUGCGUGGAAGGAUGAAGGCCUUCGGGUUGUAAACUCCUGUCAUGGGGGAACAGGCGAGGGGACCCAAUACGUCCCUUAGUUGAGUGUACCCCAAGAGGAAUUGGCGGCUAACUCUGUGCCAGCAGCCGC
rnacentral:rRNA from 1 species